GACUCGGUGGCGAAUGGCCUGCAUCCACUAUUCAUGUGAGGACUAUUUGCUGAUUUGAGCAUGGAAGUCGCCUGUUCGAAUCAGGCCCGAGUCA